rnacentral:lncRNA from 1 species
CUUUUACCAAACAUGUCACGUUGGAUUUUAAAAAUUUUUCUUUGUGCUUUUGCAUAACUUCUGGGAAGAAGAAAGUCCUGACUUAGUCAUCUUCACACAUUAUCCUUCCCUUUUAUCCUGCUCAUUUCCUUAAUAUUUAUUGAUCCUUAGUUGUCCAUUUGCACUUAAGAAUGGUUUGGGGCACCUGGGUGGCUCAGUGGUUGAGCAUCAGGAUGAGCAUGCCUUGGCUCAGGUCAUGAUCCGAGGGACCUGGGAUAGAGGCCUGCAUCAGCCUCCCUGCAGGGAGCCUGCUUCUCCCUCUGCCUAUGUCUCUGCUUCUCUCUGUGUGGCUCUCAUGAAUAAACAAAUAAAAUCUAUUAAAGAAGGAAAAAAGAAAAGAAGAAGAAGAAGAUAAAGAAAGAAGGAGGAGGAGGAGGAGGAAGGAGAGGAGGAGAAGGAAGAAGGGGAGGAGGAAGUGGAGGAGAAGGAGGGAAAAUUCAAGUGACUAAUAUAGUUGGCUAACGUGCAUUUCUUCUGCCAUUUCAGGCCUUUCUCUGUCCUGAGAACCCUGACUACCUGUCCGGACAGGAGUCUAGAACACAUCAGGCCACUUCAAUCUUAGGACUCCACCAUCUCAACACAAGGUCUCCUCAGUCAAUGGUGAAUGAACAGCUGGAGAAUCGCUCUGGCUCUUCUAUGCUUCAGUCUGGAAAUGGGGCACAUAGCUUCUGCCCACAACUCAUUGGCCAGAUCCUGUAACAAGACUCCACCUAACCUCAUGGGUGCUGGAAAUGUGAGGGAGCAGAUGGGCUAUUUGGUCAAGAUACUCUGCUUGCAAAUGCUGACUAGGAAAACAUGCCUUUUGAGAUGAGGGGACAAGGAUGAAGUCAAGAAUGCACCAGUCAUCAGACAAAUGGCAGAGAAUGCAUUAAAUGUCAGCUAUGGUUUAGAUUAUGCAGAUUGUCAUUUUUAUGUGGGAGAGGGUCAAUAUUGAGAAACAAAGUAAAGCAAGACAAUGAAAAGAUUUCCAAGAAGUUGAUGAAAAAUAAUAAAUGCUUCGAGUGUGAAUGGAACGCA